AAGAAAAUCAGGAUCUCUAAUAAACAUGUCUUGUGGGAUAAGAUCCUCAGUUGGAUCUACUGAAACACUGCUCACAGGAAGCUUUGCAAAACUAUUGCAGCAAUUGUAACAAAAAAGUUUACCACACCAUCUACAAUGAUGUCUUCUCCGAAACCAGGUAAAAGGACCACCACAAUUAUUGCACUGCGCACUUUCAUCGUCCAGUUGCCAAAUUGCCGCCGGCGUUUCAAUGAGUAAGCGUCUCAAAGCCUCUGGAUAAGUCGUCUCAUCCUCGUCCAUACUCAAUUUGAUAAAAAUUCAUUAAACUAUGUUCGAGAGCAAAAAGUUGAGUACCCGCUAGAAUGGUGUUGAAAGUUGCCUCAGGAGAUAAGGUCAAAACAAAAGGGUAACUUAUACUGAUCAAAGGAAUAUGAUUAC